CCUCUUUUUUGGGGCUUUUUUACACUAAUUUUUUCAUCUUUUUUGGGGGCUUUUUUACACCAAAUUUUUCCUCUUUUUUUUGGGGUUUUUACACCAAAUUUUUCCUCUUUUUUUGGGCUUUUUAAACUAAAUUUUUUCCCCUUUCUUAGGGGAUUUUAAACUAAUUUUUCAUAUUUUUUGGGGGUUUUUUAAACCAAUUUUUCCUCCAUUUUUUUACCUUUUUCCUCCUCGUUUUUUUGCCGUUAUUUUCCUUUUUCUCCUGCGUUUUUCACCUUUUUUUUUCCCAUUUUCCCACUGAUUUUCCUCCUUUCCCUUCCUCAAUUUCACCUUUUUUGGGCAUUUUUAAACCAUUUCUCCCCUCCUUUUUCCACCUUUUGUUUUUCCCGUUUUUCCACCGUUUUUAGGGAUUUUUUCCCUUUUUUUUUCAAUUUUUCACCAAUUUUUUUACCAAUUUUUUCACCGUUUCUCCACUGAUUUUUCCCAUUUUUUCACCAUUUUUUCACCCAUUUUUUCCCAUUUUUGCCUCAUUUCUCCAACUUUUUUUCCCCAUUUUUCCAUCCUUUUUUUUUGCCAUUUUUUCACCGAUUUUUCCUGUUUUUUCACAGAUUUUCCCCAUUUUUUGUCUGAUUUUUUCCCCAAUUUUUUUCCCAUUUUUUUCACCUUUUUUUUCCUUAUUUUUUCCGUAUUUUCCCAGUUUUUCCCCCGUUUUUUUCUUAAUGUUUUUCCCAUUUUUUCACGGAUUUUUUCCCGUUUUUUUUCCCAUUUUUUCCUCAUUUUUUCUGAUUUUUUCCUCAUUUUUUCCUCAUUUUUUCCUCAUUUUUUUCCUCAUUUUUCCCCAUUUUUUCCUCAUUUUUUUCCCAUUUCCUCACCGAUUUUUUCUUGUUUUUCUCCCAUCUUUUCCUCAUUUUUCCCCUUUUUUUCCUCAUUUUU
rnacentral:lncRNA from 1 species